rnacentral:lncRNA from 1 species
UUUCUGCCUAGCUUGAAAUGCACCUUCAACACCUUCACUUUUCUAAGGUUUGAUCUUUGUUCCUGAGCAUGCAAUUUACUUAUAAGUUUUGCAACAGAGAAGACUUUAAGAUCACAUGAUUCCUCUAUAGUAGAAAUCUUAAGCACAAACCUCGCCGGAAGAUUUAUCAAAAUCUUUUCAACUAUUUUAAAAUCUGGAAAUGUUUCUCCAUAUAACUUGAUUUUAUUAACCAUUUCUUGUAACUUUGCUGCAUAUUCUUUAACAGACUCGCCCUCUU